rnacentral:rRNA from 1 species
AGUGGCGAACGGGUGAGUAACACGUGAGCACCUGCCCCUGACUCUGGGAUAAGCGCUGGAAACGGCGUCUAAUACUGGAUACGAUCGCAUGGUGAAAGAUUUUUCGGUUGGGGAUGGGCUCGCGGCCUAUCAGCUUGUUGGUGAGGUAAUGGCUCACCAAGGCGUCGACGGGUAGCCGGCCUGAGAGGGUGACCGGCCACACUGGGACUGAGACACGGCCCAGACUCCUACGGGAGGCAGCAGUGGGGAAUAUUGCACAAUGGGCGCAAGCCUGAUGCAGCAACGCCGCGUGAGGGAUGACGGCCUUCGGGUUGUAAACCUCUUUUAGCAGGGAAGAAGCGAGAGUGACGGUACCUGCAGAAAAAGCACCGGCUAACUACGUGCCAGCAGCCGCGGUAAUACGUAGGGUGCAAGCGUUGUCCGGAAUUAUUGGGCGUAAAGAGCUCGUAGGCGGUUUGUCGCGUCUGCUGUGAAAUCUGGGGGCUCAACCCCCAGCCUGCAGUGGGUACGGGCAGACUAGAGUGCGGUAGGGGAGAUUGGAAUUCCUGGUGUAGCGGUGGAAUGCGCAGAUAUCAGAGGAACACCGAUGGCGACGCAGAUCUCUGGGCCGUACUGACGCUGAGAGCGAAUGGUGGGGAAGCAAACAGCUUAGAUACCUGUAGGUCCACCCCGU